AUGAGCACUGACUGGUCUUUUCAGUCGGAUUCCUACAGCAAUUCCUCAUUCAGGAGGUCGUUUCAGGCGGCACCCUGGACUCCCUCAGAUACCCAGGGCGGUCCCCCCUACCCCCCAAGCUCUUUCCUUCAGGACGUGCUCCACAGCAAAUGCCACGCCAGACGCUGUGCUCACGACAAACUAGAGGCACCUGUGCUCGCAGCUACAUGAAAAGAAAAAAAUGGGCACUGAAUUUCCCCGGCGAAGCUGGUGGCGCCCAGGAAACCCUUCCCUGCAGACGCCUCUUGAAACACGGUAAGAGAAUCUACAGGUCAGGGUGCUGGGGGAGGGUGGGGAGGUCGGAU
rnacentral:lncRNA from 1 species